GAUUAGGCAUGCAAGUCGUGCGAGAAGCCAAUUAGCUUGCUAAGAGGUGGACAGCGGCGAAAGGGAGAGUAACGCGUGGUUACGUGCCCCGAGGUCCAGGAUAGCGUUGGGAAACCGGCGGUAAUACUGGAUGAUAUCUUCGGAUCAAAGGUGUGAUUCCGCCUUGGGAUCGGACCGCGUACUAUUAGCUUGUUGGUGGGGUAAUGGCCUACCAAGGCUGUGAUGGUUACCGGGUGUGAGAGCAUGGCCCGGCUCACUGGGACUGAGACACUGCCCAGACACCUACGGGUGGCUGCAGUCGAGAAUCUUCGGCAAUGGACGAAAGUCUGACCGAGCGACGCCGCGUGCGGGAUGAAGGCCCUCGGGUUGUAAACCGCUGUCAGUUGGAAGGAAGGGCCUGUGCAGAGCAGGUCUUGACCGAUCUUCAGAGGAAGGACGGGCUAAGUUCGUGCCAGCAGCCGCGGUAAGACGAACCGUCCAAACGUUAUUCGGUAUCACUGGGCUUAAAGCGUGCGUAGGCGGCCUGGAAGGUGAGAUGUGAAAGCCCACGGCUCAACCGUGGAAUUGCGUUUCAAACCGCCAGGCUUGAGGAAGACAGGGGUGUUGGGAACUUAUGGUGGAGCGGUGAAAUGCGUUGAUAUCAUAGGGAACACCGGUGGCGAAGGCGCAACACUGGGUCUUUUCUGACGCUGAGGCACGAAAGCUAGGGUAGCGAACGGGAUUAGAUACCCCGGUAGUCCUAGCCGUAAACGAUGAGCACUGGGUUGAGGGGACUUCCACAUCCUCUC
rnacentral:rRNA from 1 species